rnacentral:lncRNA from 1 species
CCGGUACUAUAAUGUCAUCCGGUAAACUGUAAACAAACGCACGUGGACGAUGAUCACAUGGGUCGGAAUGUUAGUAAACAUAAGCACGUGGUAAAGUUCAUCACAUGGUACCAUAACGGAAGUAAACAAACACACAUGGUCACUGUAUACAUGGACUCGAGACAUCUAAUGGUGGUCACUGACAUCAAAUCUGGAUCUCCACAAAAACUGGUAUGUGCCAUCAACCCAACGAAACGUGGGCGCCAUUUGUAGUAGGUGGUUUUUCUAUGCGUUAGGAAUAACACCAAUGAGAGCUUAAGGUUCUGAUUCUUUAUUGUACCAGUAUAUAAAUA